UCGACGAGUCGAGUAGUUUGGGAAUGCUGCUCAAAAUGGGAGGUAUAUGUCUUCUAAAGCUAAAUACCGGCCAGAGACCGAUAGCGCACAAGUAGAGUGAUCGAAAGAUGAAAAGCACUUUGAAAAGAGGGUUAAAAAGUACGUGAAAUUGUUGAAAGGGAAGCGCCUAUGACCAGACUUGGGCCCGGUGAAUCAUCCAGCGUUCUCGCUGGUGCACUUUGCCGGGCACAGGCCAGCAUCAGUUUGUCUUGGGGGAAAAAGGCUUUGGGAAUGUGGCUCCCUCGGGAGUGUUAUAGACCAUUGCAUAAUACCCUGGGACGGACUGAGGUUCGCGCAUCUGCAAGGAUGCUGG
rnacentral:rRNA from 1 species